rnacentral:rRNA from 1 species
UGGAUGAGCCCGCGGCCUAUCAGCUUGUUGGUGGGGUAAUGGCCUACCAAGGCGACGACGGGUAGCCGGCCUGAGAGGGCGACCGGCCACACUGGGACUGAGACACGGCCCAGACUCCUACGGGAGGCAGCAGUGGGGAAUAUUGCACAAUGGGCGAAAGCCUGAUGCAGCGACGCCGCGUGAGGGAUGACGGCCUUCGGGUUGUAAACCUCUUUCAGGCCCGGACGAAGCGCAAGUGACCAUACCUCAUGUCCCCACACCGCGCCUAACCCAACUUG